rnacentral:rRNA from 2 species
GUCGUCAGCUCGUGUCGUGAGAUGUUGGGUUAAGUCCCGCAACGAGCGCAACCCUCGUCCUUAGUUGCCAUCAUUUAGUUGGGCACUUUAAGGAAACUGCCGGUGAUAAGCCGGAGGAAGGUGGGGAUGACGUCAAGUCCUCAUGGCCCUUACAGGCUGGGCUACACACGUGCUACAAUGGCGUUGACAGUGGGCAGCUAGACCGCGAGGUCAUGCUAAUCUCUAAAAGACGUCUCAGUUCGGAUUGUUCUCUGCAACUCGAGAGCAUGAAGGCGGAAUCGCUAGUAAUCGCGGAUCAGCAUGCCGCGGUGAAUACGUUCCCGGGA